ACUACUACCUAUCAGAGGGGAGUAACCCGGCGAAAGUCGGACUAAUACCGCAUGAAGCAGGGGCCCCGCAUGGGGAUAUUUGCUAAAGAUUCAUCGCUGAUAGAUAGGCAUGCGUUCCAUUAGGCAGUUGGCGGGGUAACGGCCCACCAAACCGACGAUGGAUAGGGGUUCUGAGAGGAAGGUCCCCCACAUUGGUACUGAGACACGGACCAA
rnacentral:rRNA from 1 species